UUGAACGCUGGCGGCAGGCCUAACACAUGCAAGUCGAGCGGAUGAGUGGAGCUUGCUCCAUGAUUCAGCGGCGGACGGGUGAGUAAUGCCUAGGAAUCUGCCUGGUAGUGGGGGACAACGUUUCGAAAGGAACGCUAAUACCGCAUACGUCCUACGGGAGAAAGUGGGGGAUCUUCGGACCUCACGCUAUCAGAUGAGCCUAGGUCGGAUUAGCUAGUUGGUGAGGUAAAGGCUCACCAAGGCGACGAUCCGUAACUGGUCUGAGAGGAUGAUCAGUCACACUGGAACUGAGACACGGUCCAGACUCCUACGGGAGGCAGCAGUGGGGAAUAUUGGACAAUGGGCGAAAGCCUGAUCCAGCCAUGCCGCGUGUGUGAAGAAGGUCUUCGGAUUGUAAAGCACUUUAAGUUGGGAGGAAGGGCAGUAAGUUAAUACCUUGCUGUUUUGACGUUACCAACAGAAUAAGCACCGGCUAACUUCGUG
rnacentral:rRNA from 1 species